AUUGCACGCUGGCGGCAGGCCUCACACAUGCAAGUCGAACGAGUGGCGGACGGGUGAGUAAUGUCUGGGACACUGCCCGAUGGAGGGGGAUAACUACUGGAAACGGUAGCUAAUACCGCAUACCCUAGGAUGUGCCCAGCUGGGAUUAGCUAGUAGUGGGGGUAAAGGCGCACCUAGGCGACGAGCCCUAGCUGGGCUGAGAGGAUGACCAGCAACACGGGAACUGAGACACGGUCCAGACUCCUACGGUAGGAAGCAGGGGGGAAUAUUGCACAAUGGGCGAAAGCCUGAUGCAGCCAUGCCGCGUGUAUGAAGAAGGCCUUCGGGUUGUAAAGUACUUUCAGCGAGGAGGCGUUACUCGCAGAAGAAGCACCGGCUAACUCCGUGCCAGCAGCCGCGGUAAUUC
rnacentral:rRNA from 1 species